rnacentral:rRNA from 1 species
GAUGAACGCUGGCGGCGUGCCUAAUACAUGCAAGUCUAUCGAACAGAUUAGGAGCUUGCUCCUCUGACGUUAGCGGCGGACGGGUGAGUAACACGUGGAUAACCUACCUAUAAUACUGGGAUAACUUCGGGAAACCGAAGCUAAUACCUUAUAAUAUAUUGAACCGCAUGUUUCAAUAUUGAAAGACGGUUUUGCUGUCACUUAUAGAUGGAUCCGCGCCGCAUUAGCUAGUUGGUAAGGUAACGGCUUACCAAGGCAACGAUGCGUAGCCGACCUGAGAGGGUGCUAGGCCACACGGGAACUGAGACAAGCUCCAGACCACUACGGGAGGGAGCAGUAGGGAAUCUUCAGCAAUGGGCGAAAGCCCGAAGGAGCACCGCCGAGUGCGUCAUGAAGGUCCUCGGAUGGUAAAACUCUGUUAUUAGGGAAGAACAAAUGUGUAAGUAACUAUGCACGUCUUGACGGUACCUAAUCAGAAAGCCACGGAUACCUAGGUG